GGGGCCGUAAAGGCUUCGACGGGGAUUCUGAGGCGCAAUAAGCGAGUAGUGAGGGCGAAAUCACUUUAAAAGUCGCAAACUAAAUUUAAACGCAGACGAAGAUAACGAUCUCGUUUUAGCAGCUGCCUGAGGCGCUGCCGUCGUACCCUGCAGUACUGCGGGCGGGGAUACGGCGUCGAUUAGCAGUGAACGACCCCUGCAAAUAGCCUUAUAGCUAGGGUUGUACUAAAGGCUACCAAUUGCGAAAGCCUGUUUGCCGGCGUUCGCAGGCGGGAAUUUUAAAAGACAGACUGCACUCGGAGAAAGUUGCGAAGACGGGUUUUCGGACAGGGGUUCAAUUCCCCUCGGCUCCACCA
rnacentral:tmRNA from 1 species